GAGAGAAGUUUUGUAUUUGUAUACAUGUAUGCAUGUAUACAUGAUUGAAUUUUCUACAAAUUUCUUAGUAUUAAGUGUUUAUAAUUUCUUAGUAUUAUACACAUUUAUCUGUGUCCCUUAUAUGAUAUAUUCAAAGUUAAUUUAAAAAUAAGAGUGGAGUAUGUUAGGGAAAACUUGACCAGAGAGAUUAUAGUAUAGUAUGUUGCCCUGCUAUGCCUUAAAGAGGGGAAGAUUGUCUGGAGUCAUCUGUUCAUAAAGGAAUCUAAAUAGCAAGAUACGCAGAGUAAAGGCGGACACCAUUUUGCUUGUAGCAUUAGAUAUGUGAGCUGGCUACUUGUCUUAUGGUUGGUUGUAAUAUUUGCAAAGAACCUUACUUCUUAGGAGGGUUUGCAAUUAUUAGAAACAUGGGUUUUUAUUUGACACUUGUGGAAGAUAGCUUAAUGACAUUAGCCACCCAA
rnacentral:lncRNA from 1 species